UUUGGUUAAGUUAGAAAGGGCGCACGGUGGAUGCCUUGACACUAGGAGUCGAUGAAGGACGGGACUAACGCCGAUAUGCUUCGGGGAGCUGUAAGUAAGCUUUGAUCCGAAGAUUUCCGAAUGGGGAAACCCACCAUACGUAAUGGUAUGGUAUCCUUAUCUG
rnacentral:rRNA from 1 species